AAGUAGAACGCUGAAGCUUGGUGCUUGCACCGAGCGGAUGAGUUGCGAACGGGUGAGUAACGCGUAGGUAACCUGCCUGGUAGCGGGGGAUAACUAUUGGAAACGAUAGCUAAUACCGAAUGACAACAGUUAUUGCAUGAUAACUGUUUAAAAGGGGCAAUUGCUCCACUACCAGAUGGACCUGCGUUGUAUUAGCUAGUUGGUGAGGUAACGGCUCACCAAGGCGACGAUACAUAGCCGACCUGAGAGGGUGAUCGGCCACACUGGGACUGAGACACGGCCCAGACUCCUACGGGAGGCAGCAGUAGGGAAUCUUCGGCAAUGGACGGAAGUCUGACCGAGCAACGCCGCGUGAGUGAAGAAGGUUUUCGGAUCGUAAAGCUCUGUUGUAAGAGAAGAACGAGUGUGAGAGUGGAAAGUUCACACUGUGACGGUAUCUUACCAGAAAGGGACGGCUAACUACGUGCCAGCAGCCGCGGUAAUACGUAGGUCCCGAGCGUUAUCCGGAUUUAUUGGGCGUAAAGCGAGCGCAGGCGGUUAGAUAAGUCUGAAGUUAAAGGCUGUGGCUUAACCAUAGUACGCUUUGGAAACUGUUUAACUUGAGUGCAAGAGGGGAGAGUGGAAUUCCAUGUGUAGCGGUGAAAUGCGUAGAUAUAUGGAGGAACACCGGUGGCGAAAGCGGCUCUCUGGCUUGU
rnacentral:rRNA from 1 species